rnacentral:rRNA from 1 species
GAGUUUGAUCUUGGCUCAGAUUGAACGCUGGCGGCAUGCCUUACACAUGCAAGUCGAACGGCAGCACGGGAGCUUGCUCCUGGUGGGCGAGUGGCGAACGGGUGAGUAAUGCAUCGGAACGUAUCCUGGAGUGGGGGAUAACGUAGCGAAAGUUACGCUAAUACCGCAUAUUCUGUGAGCAGGAAAGCGGGGGACCUUCGGGCCUCGCGCUCUUGGAGCGGCCGAUGUCGGAUUAGCUAGUUGGUGAGGUAAAGGCUCACCAAGGCGACGAUCCGUAGCAGGUCUGAGAGGAUGAUCUGCCACACUGGAACUGAGACACGGUCCAGACUCCUACGGGAGGCAGGCAGUGGGAAUUUUGGACAAUGGGGGCAACCCUGAUCCAGCCAUGCCGCGUGAGUGAAGAAGGCCUGGUGUAAG